GGGACCAUAGCUCAGUUGGAAGAGCGCCCACGAAAGUGGGAUGGGCAGGUUCGAGUCCUGCGGGUCCCA
rnacentral:tRNA from 1 species